GCGGAUGUGAUGGAAUUGGUAGACAUGCUAGACUUAGGAUCUAGUGCCGCAAGGCGUGGGGGUUCGACUCCCUUCAUCCGCA
rnacentral:tRNA from 1 species